rnacentral:rRNA from 1 species
UGGGGAAUAUUGCACAAUGGGCGAAAGCCUGAUGCAGCGACGCCGCGUGAGGGAUGAAGGCCUUCGGGUUGUAAACCUCUUUCAGCAGGGAAGAAGCGCAAGUGACGGUACCUGCAGAAGAAGCGCCGGCUAACUACGUGCCAGCAGCCGCGGUAAUACGUAGGGCGCAAGCGUUGUCCGGAAUUAUUGGGCGUAAGAGCUCGUAGGCGGUUUGUCGCGUCUGGUGUGAAAACUCGAGGCUCAACCUCGAGCUUGCAUCGGGUACGGGCAGACUAGAGUGCGGUAGGGGAGACUGGAAUUCCUGGUGUAGCGGUGGAAUGCGCAGAUAUCAGGAGGAACACCGAUGGCGAAGGCAGGUCUCUGGGCCGCAACUGACGCUGAGGAGCGAAAGCAUGGGGAGCGAACA